rnacentral:rRNA from 1 species
UACGUAGGUGGCAAGCGUUGUCCGGAUUUACUGGGCGUAAAGGAUGCGUAGGCGGAUGUUUAAGUGAGAUGUGAAAUACCCCGAGCUCAACUUGGGUGCUGCAUUUCAAACUGGAUAUCUAGAGUGCAGGAGAGGAAAGCGGAAUUCCUAGUGUAGCGGUGAAAUGCGUAGAGAUUAGGAAGAACACCAGUGGCGAAGGCGGCUUUCUGGACUGUAACUGACGCUGAGGCAUGAAAGCGUGGGGAGCAAACAGG